rnacentral:rRNA from 1 species
GAUGAACGCUGGCGGCGUGCCUAAUACAUGCAAGUCGAGCGAAUGGAUUAAGAGCUUGCUCUUAUGAAGUUAGCGGCGGACGGGUGAGUAACACGUGGGUAACCUGCCCAUAAGACUGGGAUAACUCCGGGAAACCGGGGCUAAUACCGGAUAACAUUUUGAACCGCAUGGUUCGAAAUUGAAAGGCGGCUUCGGCUGUCACUUGGAUGGACCCGCGUCGCAUUAGCUAGUUGGUGAGGUAACGGCUCACCAAGGCAACGAUGCGUAGCCGACCUGAGAGGGUGAUCGGCCACACUGUGACUGAGACACGGCCCAGACUCCUACGGGAGGCAGCAGUAGGGAAUCUUCCGCAAUGGACGAAAGUCUGACGGAGCAACGCCGCGUGAGUGAUGAAGGCUUUCGGGUCGUAAAACUCUGUUGUUAGGGAAGAACAAGUGCUAGUUGAAUAAGCUGGCACCUUGACGGUACCUAACCAGAAAGCCACGGCUAACUACGUGCCAGCCGCCGCGGUAA